GAUGAACGCUGGCGGCGUGCCUAAUACAUGCAAGUCGAGCGAACAGACGAGGAGCUUGCUCCUCUGACGUUAGCGGCGGACGGGUGAGUAACACGUGGAUAACCUACCUAUAAGACUGGGAUAACUUCGGGAAACCGGAGCUAAUACCGGAUAAUAUAUUGAACCGCAUGGUUCAAUAGUGAAAGACGGUUUUGCUGUCACUUAUAGAUGGAUCCGCGCCGCAUUAGCUAGUUGGUAAGGUAACGGCUUACCAAGGCAACGAUGCGUAGCCGACCUGAGAGGGUGAUCGGCCACACUGGAACUGAGACACGGUCCAGACUCCUACGGGAGGCAGCAGUGGGGAAUCUUCCGCAAUGGGCGAAAGCCUGACGGAGCAACGCCGCGUGAGUGAUGAAGGUCUUCGGAUCGUAAAGCUCUGUUAUUGGGGAAGAACAAAUGUGUAAGUAACUAUGCACGUCUUGACGGUACCUAAUCAGAAAGCCACGGCUAACUACGUG
rnacentral:rRNA from 1 species